rnacentral:tRNA from 1 species
GGGGCUGUAGCUCAGCGGCAGAGUGCUUGCCUAGCAAGCAUGAGGCACUGGGUUCAAUCCUCAGCACCA